rnacentral:rRNA from 1 species
GUGGGGAAUCUUCCGCAAUGGACGAAAGUCUGACGGGGCAACGCCGCGUGAACGAUGACGGCCUUCGGGUUGUAAAGUUCUGUUAUACGGGACGAAUGGUACGACGGCCAAUACCCGUCGUAAGUGACGGUACCGUAAGAGAAAGCCACGGCUAACUACGUGCCAGCAGCCGCGGUAAUACGUAGGUGGCAAGCGUUGUCCGGAAUUAUUGGGCGUAAAGGGCGCGCAGGCGGCGUCGUAAGUCGGUCUUAAAAGUGAGGGGCUUAACCCCGUGAGGGGGCCGAAACUGCGAUGCUAGAGUAUCGGAGAGGAAAGCGGAAUUCCUAGUGUAGCGGUGAAAUGCGUAGAUAUUAGGAGGAACACCAGUGGCGAAAGCGGCUUUCUGGACGACAACUGACGCUGAGGCGCGAAAGCCAGGGGAGCAAACGGGAUUAGAAACCCCGGUAGUCC